UAAGGUCCAUACAGCGUGACCUCGCGCGCCGCAUCGAAGCAAUCCACCGCGCUGCGCGUAGUCUAUUGUUCGAACUUUUUACUUUAAUUUCGCACGUGCUACCUGUUUCAGUAGCUGUUGGCAAGCAGCUUCUGGUUUCCCAUCGCGCACUUCCCGCUUCUCUGUAUUUUCUUUUUUUUUCUUCCUAGCACGCAGUCCACGGCUGCAGCUCGUCGCUGCCAGGCAACGUGAGAAACCAUUUCUUUCCCGCUUACAAAAGAGCAGCUGAGCCUCGGCAAUUUUGCCACGGACGCAACAGCAGGUGCCGGGGCUCAGAACCUUCUGGUGUCAAUCAUCGUGUCGCGAUGCUGGAAGUUGCAGAAAUCUCACGGCGAAUGUCAGGAUCCAAGAACGCUCCAGGAUACAUCAAUCGUGCAUUCAUCAUCGACCCUUCAGAUGAAGGCAAGAAAGACAUCGAAAACUGCAGCGCAGACGACGACAAAGAGAAGGAAGCCUCAGCGGCGCCCAAAGGGGUGCUGGCAAUAAUCCGCCAGAGCCGAUGGAUGCUACCUUUAGUCUACACUCACAUAUGGAUGUCGGCUUCCUUUUCAAUCAUGCAACCGUACUUCCCACCUUUGGCUGCUGCCGCUGGUUGGAAGCCUGGAAAUAUGGAUUCUUUUUCUCGGCCACUAAAGUUGCGAUGUUACUAGGAUCUGUGCUAAAUGAACGCCUCAUGGCUAUUGCAUCACCGCGAAAGUGCUAUUGUCAGGGCAGAUUGGUUUUCUGCUAUUUACUAUUCU